rnacentral:rRNA from 1 species
GACAGAGGGUGCAAACGUUGUUCGGAAUUACUGGGCGUAAAGAGCGCGCAGGCGGUCGUUCAAGUCGCGUGUGAAAGCCCCCGGCUCAACUGGGGAGGGUCACGCGAUACUGAUCGACUGGAAGGCAGGAGAGGGUAGUGGAAUUCCCGGUGUAGUGGUGAAAUGCGUAGAUAUCGGGAGGAACACCAGUGGCGAAGGCGACUACCUGGCCUGUUCUUGACGCUGAGGCGCGAAAGCUAGGGGAGCAAACGGG